UUUCCUUAAACAAAUGUAUUUCCUCCAUUAUCGGGUGGACCUCCCAGGUGAUAUUCUCAUCGUGGCUUUCACAUCUUACAGCUACCACCGAGGAAUCGUUCUCCGAACUAACCUUAUCUAUGCCUGCACUAUGGGCAUAGUCAACAGCUUCCCUUAGAGACAUGGCUUCAGCCAUCAAUGCAGAGGUGCAUUUCACCCUUUUCAUAGCAGCAUGAACAAUAAUACCCCGAUCAUUCCUUACCACAAAAGCAAUUGUGGCCCUUUCCUCGUUACCUUCAAAUGCAGCAUCUACAUUAAUUCUUCAGGUACCAUUGAGCAGGAAGAGACCACACAGCAUUUCUACGGCUUGUGAUACUCCCAACCUCCACUGCACAUGUUAAAAAUUGAUUCAAAUUUUGUGUAGUUUGAUUUAUUCACAUUCGAGCUGUUUUUAGUAACUUGAUUUUUUCUUUUAUUUUUCUAGAUCAUGUUCUUGUAAGUGCCAAUAAUAUCUCUAUUUAUUGCUUUGAUUUAUUAUUAUGUAAAGC
rnacentral:lncRNA from 1 species